UGACAAGUAGGGGUGUUAUGACAUAUAGACACAAUCUCCAUUUUAAGACGCAUAUUUUUUCACAUUCGAAUUUUUAGGAUAUUAGAAUUUUUCUUGCGAUAAAUAUGUACAUUGAAUGCAGUAGUUGAUCUUCUUUUCCCCAAAAAGCUAUUAAAUUCAUGAUGUAGGGGCGCCUGGGUGGCUCAGUUGGUUA